rnacentral:rRNA from 1 species
UACGGAAGGUAGCAGUGGGGAAUAUUGGACAAUGGGCGAAAGCCUGAUCCAGCCAUGCCGCAUGAGUGAAGAAGGCCUUCGGGUUGUAAAGCUCUUUUAGUGAGAAAGAUAAUGACGGUACUCACAGAAGAAGUCCUGGCUAACUCCGUGCCAGCAGCCGCGGUAAUACGGAGAGGGCUAGCGUUAUUCGGAAUUAUUGGGCGUAAAGAGCGCGUAGGCUGAUUAGUAAGUUAAAAGUGAAAUCCCAAAGCUUAACUUUGGAAUUGCUUUUUAAAACUGCUAGUCUAGAGAUUUGAAAGAGGAUAGAGGAAUUCCUAGUGUAGAGGUGAAAUCCGUAAAUAUUAGGAGGAACACCAGUGGCGAAGGCGCCUAUCUGGUUCAAAUCUGACGCUGAGGCGCGAAGGGCGUGGGGAGCAAACAGGGAUUAGAUACC